rnacentral:lncRNA from 1 species
UAUGUUUGUCUCCUCAUUUCCCAACCACAGCUUAAACAAACAUACAAACAUAAACUUUACCUCAAUUCAUCAUCUUCUUCUUCUUGCAGCUGAUCUUGUAGUAAAGGAACAAACAAACAAUAGUUACAAGGAAGUGUGUUCAAAGGAAUGUGAUCCAAAAUCAGAGAGAAAAAUAUCGACUUUUUUGUUUUCUUUAUUUUUAUUUUAUUUUCUUGUUCACUAAUUUUGUAUUUUAAAAAAAUAAAAAGUCCUUAUUCAGUUUCUGUUUUUGGAUUGUUUGGUGAGUUCAACAGACAUCUCAAAAUUGCAAUUAUCAUUUGCUUUAUGUAGGUUGGUAUUCUUCUUCUCCUUAUGUCUUUUUCUCUUCUCAAUAUUUAGAAAUAUAUAUUGUUAUACUCCAUAUUGUUAUUAUUAGUAGAAAAAUCUAUGUAUUAUUCUAUUUUUU